GAUGAAGCCGAGCUUGCUUGGUGGAUUAGUGGCGAACGGGUGAGUAACACGUGAGCAACCUGCCCUGGACUCUGGGAUAAGCGCUGGAAACGGUGUCUAAUACUGGAUAUGAGCUCUCAUCGCAUGGUGGGGGUUGGAAAGAUUUUUCGGUCUGGGAUGGGCUCGCGGCCUAUCAGCUUGUUGGUGAGGUAAUGGCUUACCAAGGCGUCGACGGGUAGCCGGCCUGAGAGGGUGACCGGCCACACUGGGACUGAGACACGGCCCAGACUCCUACGGGAGGCAGCAGUGGGGAAUAUUGCACAAUGGGCGGAAGCCUGAUGCAGCAACGCCGCGUGAGGGAUGACGGCCUUCGGGUUGUAAACCUCUUUUAGCAAGGAAGAAGCGAAAGUGACGGUACUUGCAGAAAAAGCGCCGGCUAACUACGUGCCAGCAGCCGCGGUAAUACGUAGGGCGCAAGCGUUAUCCGGAAUUAUUGGGCGUAAAGAGCUCGUAGGCGGUUUGUCGCGUCUGCUGUGAAAACCCGAGGCUCAACCUCGGGCCUGCAGUGGGUACGGGCAGACUAGAGUGCGGUAGGGGAGAUUGGAAUUCCUGGUGUAGCGGUGGAAUGCGCAGAUAUCAGGAGGAACACCGAUGGCGAAGGCAGAUCUCUGGGCCGUAACUGACGCUGAGGAGCGAAAGGGUGGGGAGCAAACAGGCUUAGAUACCCUGGUAGUCCACCCCGUAAACGUUGGGAACUAGUUGUGGGGUCCUUUCCACGGAUUCCGUGACGCAGCUAACGCAUUAAGUUCCCCGCCUGGGGAGUACGGCCGCAAGGCUAAGACUCAAAGGAAUUGACGGGGACCCGCACAAGCGGCGGAGCAUGCGGAUUAAUUCGAUGCAACGCGAAGAACCUUACCAAGGCUUGACAUACACGAGAACAUCC
rnacentral:rRNA from 1 species